UACAGAGGUCUCAAGCGUUGUUCGGAUUCAUUGGGCGUAAAGGGUGCGUAGGUGGCGUCGUAAGUCAGGUGUGAAAUUUCGGAGCUUAACUCCGAAACUGCAUUUGAUACUGCGGUGCUUGAGGACUGGAGAGGAGACUGGAAUUUACGGUGUAGCAGUGAAAUGCGUAGAGAUCGUAAGGAAGACCAGUGGCGAAGGCGGGUCUCUGGACAGUUCCUGACACUGAGGCGCGAAAGCUGGGGGAGCAAACGGG
rnacentral:rRNA from 1 species